GCUUUACAAUUAUUUAAUUAAAUUAUAAAUUGUUAGUAUAAACUUAAUUUAAUUGAUGUUUGUUUCGUUGGGGCGACGAGAAUAUAAUUUAGUAACUGUUCUUUUAUAGUUUGUUACAAUAAUUUUUGGUAAAAAAUUGAUCCUUUAUUAAAGAUUAAAAGAUUAAGUU
rnacentral:rRNA from 1 species